GACGAACGCUGGCGGCGUGCUUAACACAUGCAAGUCGAACGGAAAGGCCCUGCUUUUGUGGGGUGCUCGAGUGGCGAACGGGUGAGUAACACGUGAGUAACCUGCCCUUGACUUUGGGAUAACUUCAGGAAACUGGGGCUAAUACCGGAUAGGAGCUCCUGCUGCAUGGUGGGGGUUGGAAAGUUUCGGCGGUUGGGGAUGGACUCGCGGCUUAUCAGCUUGUUGGUGGGGUAGUGGCUUACCAAGGCUUUGACGGGUAGCCGGCCUGAGAGGGUGACCGGCCACAUUGGGACUGAGAUACGGCCCAGACUCCUACGGGAGGCAGCAGUGGGGAAUAUUGCACAAUGGGCGGAAGCCUGAUGCAGCAACGUCGCGUGCGGGAUGACGGCCUUCGGGUUGUAAACCGCUUUCGCCUGCGACGAAGCGUGAGUGACGGUAAUGGGUAAAGAAGCACCGGCUAACUACGUG
rnacentral:rRNA from 1 species